rnacentral:lncRNA from 1 species
GUCCUAAUUCUCUAAACGCAUAUUGCCAUAUUUGCAUACAAUCACAAGAAUGACAAAAACCAUGCACUUGAAGCAAAUAUUAAUUAAUAGAACUUCAACUGCUCUAAUCUGAUGUUCUUUCUAAAGGGCCAAUACGAAAUUAAAUCGAUGAAUCUGAACAAUUAAAGUAACAAUCAAUUUACUCGCUUAAAUAAGCUUAACAACACUCACAGGAGUGCAAUCAGGACCAUAAUCAUCAGCAUCACACCCUUCGCCUUCCAAAAGCUUUCCUUGUGUCUAAACAAUAGUGAUGGAGAUUAUGCAAAGCUUCUUGAGGAGGUGCCAAUCUUCAAAACUGAACGAGAUAUAGCAGAAAUUUUGUUCGACAAAGUUGACAAGAAAAGAUAAUGAGAAAGAUGGUC